rnacentral:rRNA from 1 species
UACGGGGGGGGCGAGCGUUGUUCGGAAUUACUGGGCGUAAAGGGUUCGUAGGUGGCCAACUAAGUCAGACGUGAAAUCCCUCAGCUUAACUGGGGAACUGCGUCUGAUACUGAUUGGCUCGAGUGCAGGAGAGGAAUGCGGAAUUCCAGGUGUAGCGGUGAAAUGCGUAGAUAUCUGGAGGAACACCGGUGGCGAAGGCGGCCAACUGGACCAUUACUGACGCUGAGGCGCGAAAGCGUGGGGAGCAAACAGG